ACAGAGAAGAAAUAAUAUGCCUGGAAUUUCAAAGUUUGUUUAUGUCAUGGUUUUAUUUUUUUCACUACUUAUAGUUGUAAUCAAUAUCGAUGCAUAUCGUAGUUGCAAGACUGACGAUGAUUGUCCAGAUUAUUUGUGUACCUCUCCGAAAAUUGGGAAGUGUAUGGAUAAUGAUUGUUACUGCAUUUAAUAGUUAAGAAGAACAACACAUGACAAUCAUUGGUCGUAAAAAAACUUUUGUAUUAUAUAUUGAGUAAUACAAAUAAAUUAAUGUAAACUUAUCACAUUGGCAUUAUAAAAUACUAGAAAAAAGACAGCACUCACGUGCUCGUCUUUCUGUUCAUUUUAUUGCGGUACGUGUAAAUUAUGAACGAUAUUUUAUAUGAAAUUUUAAUUUUGAUCAA